UUAACUAUUAUAUAGUACUCAGACAUCACUAAAAUUCAGAGUUUGGUCCUCUGGCAGGCACACGCAGGCAGAGCCCACGGUGGAGGCCACGGCCUGCCAAAGCAACAAGAGUAUGUAGACACGGGUGGGGUAUACCGAUUGCUCGGUAUCCUUUUUAAUGAUCCUUCCGCAGGUUCACCUACGGAAA
rnacentral:misc_RNA from 1 species